rnacentral:rRNA from 1 species
AGCGAACGCUGGCGGCAGGCCUAACACAUGCAAGUCGAACGAAGUCUUCGGACUUAGUGGCGGACGGGAGAGUAACACGUGGGAACGUGCCUUUAGGUUCGGAAUAACUCAGGGAAACUUGUGCUAAUACCGAAUGUGCCCUUCGGGGGAAAGAUUUAUCGCCUUUAGAGCGGCCCGCGUCUGAUUAGCUAGUUGGUAGUGUAAUGGACUACCAAGGCUACGAUCAGUAGCUGGUCUGAGAGGAUGAUCAGCCACAUUGGGACUGAGACACGGCCCAAACUCCUACGGGAGGCAGCAGUGGGGAAUCUUGCGCAAUGGGCGAAAGCCUGACGCAGCCAUGCCGCGUGAAUGAUGAAGGUCUUAGGAUUGUAAAAUUCUUUCACCGGGGACGAUAAUGACGGUACCCGGAGAAGAAGCCCCGGCUAACUUCGUGCCAGCCGCCGCAGUAAAAC